UCUUACAUGUAAAUACUCCUUAUGUAGUGCUUUGUAUAUAGCAUCACACGUUUCUGGUAUAAUGGUAGAAAGAGCCUGUGGUGAAAUUACAGUAGUAAAUUUCAGGUCUUCGUAGGUUCUUCCUGUUGCCAGGUAUCGUAACGUUGCAGUUAAUCUUACAUGUGGUGAAAUGGCCAUCCUCAUAACGGUAUCUUUCUUUUUAAUUAAUGGGGCAACUAAUGACAGGAGCUGUAAAUAAGUUUCUUCAUUCAUGCGCAAAUAAUUGUGCCAAUCUUUAGGGACCAACUUCAAUUCACCUAACAAAUUCACAUGUGAAUAAACAUUUCUUUUCAUCAACCACGCUUUGCACCAGGUUUGACGCUUACUUUUCGGUUUGAAAUAAUUUGUAGCUAAUAAUAAGCCAACUACAGCUAGAACAUCGUCAUCUGUAGAUGCCAUGUCCGACCAUAGCAAACACACAACUGAAAUAAUAUCGGAAAGGUGUACCUGACCGUGUGGGCGCACUGGGGUUUUCAGGUCAACCUGCGCAGGCGCACCUGACAGGUCUACCGGAGCGUGUGUAGAGUUACCAGAUGUAAAUUUGCUUAUAAACUCUCCGUAAUCACAGGAGAGGGGGGAUACUUUCGAAGACUUCGUGCGGGCCGUCUCUAUGCGACUCAGCUCAGCGAAGUGGACUUAGAAAUUUCAGCUCGCAGGGUUCUGGUGUUGCCUUCAUAUAAUCACCAAUGGCUGUAUGAAUUUCAUCUUGGUUUUUUUCCUUUUAAUAAAUCCUCAUAUACUUAACUGCUCUGUAGUCUUGAGCUUUCACUCUUAAACGUCGUGGACCUGCAUACUGGAAGUGCAGUGUUUAGUUGUAUGGAUGUAGUAGAUGGCUUGCAUACGUAUAAGAUGAGCCGAAAAUUGAAGAAGAGGGUGUACUUCUAUCCGAAGUGUAAGAAUGGUAUUGAGACAAGUAUACUAUGUGACAAGACAACGCCAAUGAAAGAUUGCGUGGUGAAGAUGCAGCCAUGUAACAGUUUCUUGGAAGAGAGAGUACAGUUUGGUCCAUUUAGCAAUGAAAAGAGUUUUGAUCCCAAGGAUCCACAUACAAUGUAUUAUGCAGAGGUGUCAAUGAGGGUUAGAUGGUACUAUUACUUUGUAUUGUAUGGUCAUAAUAAAGAGGAGAAUUGAUGUGAUGUGAUUUCUGUGUUUUUACUGUAGCGCACCAGAGGUACCCUUUCCCGGGGGAUGUUUAUUAAAAGUUCAGGCACCGAGGUCUACCUGAGGACUGUCUAGAAGCCCAUGGAAAGGGCGGGACCCGUGGAGGAUUUCGUAAGAAGGUUUAUUCAACAUCCCUGGUUGUAUGCACAAGCAGUUAUAGGACCGAGGAGAGAGUGGCCUCUUUAUGUGCUUCUGAAAACUUUUUGCAGUUAUUUGGGUCGGCGUGAUUUAGAAAAACUGGCAGUGUUUUAUAUUGGUAAUGGUCUGGUGGAUAAUGCAAUAGUACAUGUUAUAUAAGUUGAAUCGGUAUAUGAAUGGACAGAAGGAGACAUACUUGAGGCAUUUCUUUGUGUUGUUGAGGGGAGACGAGUGUGUGAGACAAAGGUAUACAUUUUAUCACGUUCGUAGACGGCGAGUAGUUGAUUUGGAAGGAAAUUUGCGUGGCGUUGGCAUCCCUGUUGGUGGAGGAGUGAGGGGAAGAGGGAGUGGAGGCGGUGGAGUGAAGUCAUAUCCGGGCCUGGAUGUGGAGUGUGUACGCAGGUUUAUGCAGGCAUGGACCGGAAGCCGCUGAGUGAUAUAAAUAGGGGAGCUGAUAAGAGACGGAAGCCACAUCCGCUCGCAGUGCCUAAAGAGACUAAGCGCUGCGUACGGGAUUCGGAGCGAUUGGGACUUAGCCGCAAAACGAGUAAGGAUUUUGCUAUAACAGUUUCAGUAGGGGAACUGUAUGAAGGAAUCAGGGAGGAUUUCUUAUGUUAUUUUACUGAUAUUGAGACUUAUUGUGUAUGCAUUGAACGGAACCAGGACAUAUGUGUUGAAGGAGCUGAUGUGUCUCCGGCUUGGAAGAUCUCAGCCAACUGUACUACGGGAUACUAGAUAAACAUAAACUGGUGUCAGGUGUGGGGUGAUUAAAGAGGUUCCCUUCUAGGAUUUCAGGAGGAGAUCUUGCCGUAGACUACACUCGGCAGCAGUUCCAGCCUCAAUAUCCUACGAUGUCGAAUCGGACUGGCCUCUCCGAGGAGACAUCGCAACAUCAUCUCCCAGGCCCUCCAGGAGCCUGUUUGGCCACGAAGGACCAAGUGAGCAGACCCAGCCUGCAGCAGACGGUGGCUGUAAAAUACUAGCCGCCACUAAGGGAGCAGUGCACGGCCCCUUGGUGCCGAGCUGUCGGGUUACCUCAGCCAUGGACAUAAUAGCAACAAAUAAGAAAGGACAAUAUUUAAACACAUUAGAAAACUAUCAUAUAUACAGAACAACAAAGAAACGCACACAUAUGAACAAUACAAACAAGAAAUUAAUAUUUCAGGAAUUACACACAAUUUACACAGAACAACAUAACACAACCCCACCACCUACCCCCACCACAUCUACCCCUACCACGUCAUAACUCAAUCAAUACGAAGACACACACACAUCCAACAUUACAACACUUGCAGCUAAGAAGGGAACACACAUCACAAGACACGGUGAGUACUAAACAUUAUAAUACAACACACAACAGAUAGAAGCCGAAAGUAAUAAUAAUAAGUACCUUUUUUUCACGUUGAAGGUUUACACAGAAAAUAAGAAAAAACGACACCAUAAUGAAUGAACCAGACGCCAGUUUUAAUUAAGACAAAUAAGAUGAAUAAUCUUAACAAGUUUUAGUGAGUGUAAAUUUAUUAUAGUUGACA